GAUGAACGCUGGCGGCGUGCUUAACACAUGCAAGUCGAACGGAAAGGCCCAAGCUUGCUUGGGUACUCGAGUGGCGAACGGGUGAGUAACACGUGGGUGAUCUGCCCUGCACUUCGGGAUAAGCCUGGGAAACUGGGUCUAAUACCGGAUAGGACCACUUCUUGGAUGUUGUGGUGGAAAGUUUUUUCGGUGUGGGAUGAGCUCGCGGCCUAUCAGCUUGUUGGUGGGGUAAUGGCCUACCAAGGCGUCGACGGGUAGCCGGCCUGAGGGGGUGUACGGCCACAUUGGGCCGGGGAUACGGCCCAGACUCCGACGGGAGGCAGCAGUGGGGAAUCUUGCACAAUGGGCGCAAGCCUGAUGCAGCGACGCCGCGUGGGGGAUGACGGCCUUCGGGUUGUAAACUCCUUUCGCUAGGGACGAAGCGUUUUGUGACGGUACCUGGAAAAGAAGCACCGGCUAACUACGUG
rnacentral:rRNA from 1 species